rnacentral:lncRNA from 1 species
GUUGGUGCCCCCUCCAUUCCAUGCACAAAGGCUGACUGGGCAGGCUGCUGAACCUUACUUCAGUACUGACAAAGGAUAGCAUCUUCCAGGUAACUGAGGGCUGCAGGCAAGUUUAUGCGGAGCAUGAUAUGACUGGGGAACACAUAGGUUUGAUUUCCAGCAGUGGAGAAUGACCAGGCUGCUCAUGAGGAACAGCUAGAGGGCUGCCAUUGCUUACCAUCUGUAUCUGCCACCUGAGGUGAUUGCCUCACUCUGUCUAAUGGUAGGGCAGAUCUGUAGGGAAUACUGGCUAGCUAGAGGGACAAAUCAACUUCCUAUGUUGAUUCCAUUAUUUUUCCAACAUCACCAACUGGAUAAAUGGGUCUCAGCCAUGAGUGUCUAUUUUAUAUAUUUUUUUUAUUUUUUAUUUUUUGUAACUGCUGGUUUGUUUGUUUUUUUAAAAAAAACUUUCAGUUGUUUUUAAUUGUACAUUGCCUUGAGACAAUUGUGCAGGAGGUGAUUCACAAAUCCAUUUAAACAAAUCUCUCUCUUCCAGGAAAAAAAACAACAACCCAGCCCUCCACUGUUGAAACUAAAUUUUAAAAAUUAAUAUCCGGCAGAACAGUUAUUCAAAUACUGUAUCUUGCCACACAACCUAAAUGGCUUUGGCAAGAUAUAUGGGACAGAAGAGAAUAAAUUUAACCUGAAUGUCAGGUUAAUUUGCUAACCUAUUAUAAAAUACAUAGCUAAAAUGGGCACUCAGAUUGAUGCAGUAUCUGUAAAGCAGUCAGGAACUGUUUCUUUACUAUAAUAAAACAUUGUAAGGUGUUAUACUUCAUUUUGGAAGGAAGAAGGGGGUUGGAGAAACAGUGUUAUAUAUCCAGAUUUGGUUUCUCAGUCUUCGUUCUUUUGAAAAUGUCAUUUAAAUUAAAUAAAGGAAAACAUGGGAGUUCUGAGAGUUGAAUAAACAUGCUGUUCUUUCAAGCCUGUUGGGGACAUAACCUCUUUUGUUUCGGGACAUAACCUCUUUUGUUGACUCUAUAAAGACAGGAAUAUUGAGAAUCUGGCAGAACAGUUCUGAACAGAUCUAAUGGCAGAGCAGGCCCCUACUCUGAGUCUAGGUGCCCUGACACAAUCUAGUACCUAGGCAGGAGUUAGCACAUACAUCCUAACGUCAUAUUUAUGGCAGAUCCAUUCCUUGACCCAUACCAAUUCUCUCAAUUCUCUGGGCUAAUCACGGACCAAAUCCACCCUAGGACUUACAUUUUAAACAUCCAUCCAAAACUUUUGCAUCUUUAGUCAGAAGUAAUGAGUUCAGUUGAACUUUUCUGUGCAUAAGAGUAGAGCAUGGGUAGGCAAACUAAGGCCUGGGGGCCAGAUCUGGCCCAAUCACCUUCUAAAUCUGGCCCAUGGACAGUCCCAGAAUCAGUGUGAUUUUACAUGGGUAGAAUGUGUGCUUUUGUUUAAAAUGCAUCUCUGGGUUAUUUGUGGGGCAUAGGAAUUUGUUCAUUUUUAUUUUUAUUUUCCAAAAUAUAGUCCCGCCCCCCACAAGGUCUGAGGGAAAGUGGAUCAGCCCCCUGCUGAAAAAGUUUGCUGACCCCUGAGAGCCUUGCAGCUACAGAAACAAACCCCUUCAAAAGUCAGUGCAGAGGUUAGGGUGUCAGGAGACCAGGGUCUUAAGGCAUGAAUUUACUAUUCAGACAUCAUCCAGGUCAGUCUUAUCUACCUCACAGGGUUGUGGGGAUGAACACCUUCAGAUCUCCUUAAGGUCCUCAGUGGAAUGACAGCAUGUGGAUCUUGCUGUUUUUACUGAUGUUGAUUUCAGUGAAGAAGUUAGGCCUGAGCUCCAGUCCUAAUGGAACGGAAAAGUGCUUGCUUUUUGCUGGAUCAUGUCCUGAAUGUGCUUAGGCCUGAGUCUUUCAUUACUUUGCCAAUAAAACAGGAGGCCAGUUUCCUUUGCUGACACCUCCAAAUCCUCCUGGGAUAAAAGGGGGAAAAUAACAAUUCCACACUUGCAGCACAAGCUGCUUCAGGCAUUUAAAACUUUCUUUCAUUUGCCAAACUGAUUUUUGAGCAGAAUGGAAGAAUCCUGCUGGGCCUUAAGGCUUCACUAAAGCUGGAACAGGUGAAUGUGCAUUUUUCCCCAAUCAAAGAAACAUUUAAAAAUGCCUCUCUCCCUUGAGCACUAGAGGACAUGACAUUUGUUUGAAGCUGAAUUUUGUAUCUUUGUGCCUUGUCUGGGCAAUGAAGUCUCUCUCACUCAUUAUAAAAACUAUAACUCACUACAGGUAAACCUAGCUCCAUGUACCUGACAUAAAUACAUAUUCCUUAUGUGUUGACAUUUGCCUCUGUCUCUCCUCCUCCCAAUUCUCUGUUGUUACAGUCAAAUUUAGGACUGUAAACCCCUUGGGGCACAGACCUGUCAUGCACUUUUGAUUUCUUCAUUUCCUCCUCUAAAUUUAUUUUGAAUUUGCAAAACAACAUGUUUAGUCAUGUCCGAUUCUUCAUGACCCCAUGGACCAGAGCACGCCAGGCACUCCUGUCUUCCACUGCCUCUCGCAGUUUGGUCAAACUCAUGUUGGUGGCUUCAAGAACACUGUCUAACUAUCUCGUCCUAUGUCGUCCCCUUCUCCUUGUGCCCUCCAUCUUUCCCAACAUCAGGGUCUUUUCCAGGGAGUCUUCUCUUCUCAUGAGGUGGCCAAAGUAUUGGAGCCUCAGCUUCAGGAUCUGUCCUUCCAGUGAGCACUCAGGGCUGAUUUCCUUAAGAAUGGAGAGGUUUGAUCUUCUUGCAGUCCAUGGGACUCUCAAGAGUCUCCUCCAGCACCAUAAUUCAAAAGCAUCAAUUCUUUGGCAAUGUGGAAAAGAGUUCCUUUGGAAUUAAGUGUAGUGUAGUGGUUAGAGCACGGUGUAGUUAUUAGGGUGAGGGCAGAACAGGUCAAACUCCAUGGACAAAGACAACAGGCAGAACAACAUAUAUAUCAGUCAGUCAUGUAUUCCAGUACACAGCGGAGGCUGAUCUGUUAGGGAAAAUGGGGCACUGCCCACCAACAUCCAUCUGACCACCAACAUUCCUCACCUGUUCUGCCCUCACCCUAAUAACUACACCGUGCUCUAACUACUACACUACACUUAAUUCCCAAGGAACCCUUUUCCACAGGCAAAACGUUAUUAUGAUUCAGGACGUUCUCCUAAGCCCAAACCUGCUUUCCUGCAGCUCACUGGUUCUAGUUCCAUCUCAGUCGAAGCAGCACUUAAGGGACAGUGUAUAAGUGUUUGGACUACAGCUAAGCCUCUUGGGCUUACUGAUCAGAAGGCUGAUGGUUCAAAUCCCCACAACAGAGUGAGCUCCCAUUGCUCUGUCCCAGCUCUUGCCUACCUAGCAGUUCGAAAGCACGCCAGUGCAAGUAGAUAAGUAGGUACCGCUGUGGCGGGAAGGUAAACAGCGUUUCCAUAUGCUCUGGUUUCUGUCACGGUGUCCCGUUGCGCCAGAAGCGGUUUAGUCAUGCUGGCCACAUGACCCGGAAAGCUGUCUGUGGACAAAUGCUGGCUCCCUCAGCCUGAAAGCGAGAUGAGCGCCACAGCCCUUUGACUGGACUUAAUUGUCAAAGGGUCCUUUAGAGUUAGUAGAUUGUAGGUUGAGUUCCCAUGUCAAAAGCAGUAUUUAUCUAUACUGAAUACAAACCAAUGCUCAUUUAUUUCAAAAAUUAAGAGGUACUUAAUUGUCAGUACCUCUAAAUGGUUUGCAUACAUCAAACACACAUUAAAACUGUCAAUAAAUUCUCAUAGUGCAAAGCAGAGUGGAAGAGUACUUUAAUAUUGUAAGUUCUCACGGAAGCCCUCAAGGUUUUGCUAGUAUUCAAAGGCAACACUCACAAAACAGAUCAAUCAUUUUGAGUCAAGCAGUGACAUGUUUACCCAUCCAGAUUUGACCAUCUAUGAACUCGCUUUUUUAUGCUAGCUGUUGUUAUUAUGGUGGUUGGGCUUCAAAUAUAUUGUUGAAACUUUCCAAACAAUUGCAAUAUUAGAUAAACAUUUAUGUUUAUAUCCUUGAUUAUGUUUUAACCUUAUUGCAUUUUUAAUGGCUGCUAACUCUUGUCAGAAGCACCAACAUCACCACACCCCAGAGUGCUAUUAGAGAUAGUUAUAGCCGUGGAGGCAUUUGCAUGUAUUUAUUCAUUUUUAAAAAAAACUAAACUCACAGCCUACUUUCUCAUUGUAGCACUAAAGUAUCUCAGCGCUGUAUUAUCUUCAGCACUUCCAUUUGUACGGCUAUGGCACAUGGUUUAAACUACAGAAUUUGCUCCCACAAGAUGUAGUAAUGGCUUUAAAAUACAAUUAGACAACUUCAUUGCGGAUAAAGUCAUUAGUGGCUACAAAUGAUGUGGCUGCUAACCAUGACGGCUUGUCUUCUACCUCUAUCAUCAUUGGAGGCAGUAGAUGCUUUCUAGAAACUCCAGGACAGGCAAACUCGGCCCUCCAGAUGUUUUGGGACUACAACUCCCACCAUCCCUAGCUAACAGGACCAGUGGUCAGGGAUGAUGGGAGUUGUAGUCCCAAAACAUCUGGAGGGCCGAGUUCACCUUUGCCUACACCAGGAGGAGAGAAAGCUGUUGCACUCAGAUCCUGCUUGCAAACUUCCCAUGGGCAUCUGGUUGGCUGCUGUGAGAACAGGAUGCUGGACAGAGAAGCAUUGACCUGGUCUAGGAUGCUCUUCUUAAGUUCUUAUGAGCUUUUGCUGCCUAAGGCAAAGGACAAGUUGGUGUCUCCCUCCAAUCCCAUGCACAAAAACUGAGCAGGUUGGAAGUUAAAACUUACUCUGACACUGUCAAGGCCUUCGAGGGCAGGCCAUGUGGUAGACACAUCUCCUUCCACACCCUGGCCCUCAGCAUUUGCUGCCUGGGGCAGCUGUCUCACUCUACCUCAUAGUAGGUCUGGCCCUCGUCCUUGCCAUAGGGAAAUCAUGAGGGAAGUUUCAUACCCUCCAACAUUUCUCCAGUGAAAAUAGGGACGUCCUAAGGCAGAGCUUUCCAUGUUGGCAACACACUUUUUAGACAUGCAUCAUUUUGCGACACAGUAAUUCAGUUUUACGGGACGCGGGUGGUGCUGUGGGUUAAACCACAGAGCCUAGGACUUGCCGAUCAGAAGGUCCGCAGUUCGAAUCCCCGCGACGGGGUGAGCUCCCAUUGCUCGGUCCCUGUUCCUGCCAACCUAGCAGUUCGAAAGCACCUCAAAGUGUAAGUAGAUAAAUAGGUACUGCUCUGGCAGGAAGGUAAAUGGCAUUUCCGUGCGCUGCUCUGGUUUGCCAGAAGUGGUUUAGUCAGGCUGGCCGCAUGACCCAGAAGCUGUACGCCAGCUCCCUCGGCCAAUACAGCAAGAUGAGUGCCGCAACCCCAGAGUCGAUCACGACUGGACCUAAUGGUCAGGGUCCCUUUACCUUUAAUUCAGUUUUACUAGCAAACUGGAGGUUAAACUAGCCCCUAUCCAGCCCCUGGAGGAGUGCUGGGAGCAUUUAUGCAGCAUGCCUACACACUGCAGCCAACACACUAACGUGUCGCAACGCACAGUUUGGAAAGCUCUGUCCUAAGGAAAAGAGGGACACUUCAGGAUCAAGUCAGAAACCGGGAUGCAGUGGAAAAAGGUGUGCAAACACAGCCCGGGGUGGGCACACAAGGUGUGCCCCCAAGGGAGGUGGGGCAGCGGGUGUGGAGGGAGCCCGCUGUGGCUCCCCUCGCAAAGCGUACCCAGGAGCAGAACUGCAACCAGGUGCAAAGAGGCUGCGCAGCUUCCUUGUGUGCCACAGUACAGGAGAGUGGCCAGCAGCAUUGCUGCCACAGCCAGGCACAAGGAAGCUGCUUGGCAGCUUGCUAGUGUGCUGCAGCCUCUCUCCAUGCCCGGGUCAGGCUUGACCCGGGGGUGGAGCUGCCUUGGCCAGGCCAAUGGAAUAGAAAACAGCCACUGAAUAAUCGUAGUUGCUUAAAGAUUGUGCACACACAUUUGGUUACUUUUCUUUGCCAACCUGGUGCCCUCCCUGUGUGCUGGCUGGGGCUGAUGGGAGUUGUAGCCCAAAACAUCUGGAAGGUUGGCAAAGCUGCAUUAUGUCUUCAAAACCACAGGUGCAAAUGAGGCAGAGGGACCAUGUGAGUAGACAGCAGCAAAAAUAGUUCCAGACACUCAGAGUUGCCUUAAGGCAAAGAGUCUCCAAGGCACCCUUAAGGCAAUGAAGAAAACCCCUUCUCUACAUUCAGUGAGAGCUGUAAUCGUGGAUGAAGACCCUCAGGUCAGGCCCUUACUCUACCCCCCCCCCCGAUAUCCCCAGGUAAUGCUGUGAAUUUAGAAAGCUGUUGACUACUUAUUUGGGGGGGGGGGGCUGAAUAUAAUUGUGUGCAUCCGUGUGAUGUUUCCCCUCCUCUUCCCGGUGAAAAUGUCUGUCAAGAAGGAAGAGGCCUACUGCAGGUGUAAAUAGAAAAUUUAUGAAGUGGGCCCAAUGCAUGGUACUUAAGGGAUGGAUUUAGUAUCAUCUCAAUUGUUGGAACACUGUUAAGUGCCUGUAUCUAUUUAGGACGAACAAAGGCAAGCGACAAAAUUUGUUAUGGCGCUCUGUUCCACAGCCUAUUCUGGCCUGCAGAGGAGCAAAUGGACAGCUGUCAGGAGUCUGCUGCAAAUUGCUGAGGCUUGAUUAAAUGGCAUCUUACCACCAGUCCUGUCUUGCUGUGCUGACUAUUCAAUCUCAAUUCCUAUUAUCCUUUGCCACCUUGUUGUUUCAUUGUUUUCUUUUC